UACGUAGGGGGCAAGCGUUGUCCGGAUUUAUUGGGCGUAAAGAGCGUGUAGGCGGCCAGGUAGGUCUGCUGUGAAAACUCGAGGCUUAACCUCGAGCUGUCGGCGGAAACCAUCUGGCUAGAGUCCGGAAGAGGAGAAUGGAAUUCCCGGUGUAGAGGUGAAAUGCGCAGAUAUCGGGAAGAACACCCGUGGCGAAGGCGGUUCUCUGGGACGGUACUGACGCUGAGACGCGAACGCGUGGGGAGCGAACAGG
rnacentral:rRNA from 1 species